rnacentral:rRNA from 1 species
CUAAGAAUCUUCCGCAAUGGGGGCAACCCUGACGGAGCGACGCCGCGUGGACGAUGAAGGCCGUAAGGUUGUAAAGUCCUUUUGCAGGUGAAGAAUAAGCCGGGGAGUGGAAAGCCCUGGUGAUGACGUUAGCCUGCGAAUAAGCCCCGGCCAAUUACGUGCCAGCAGCCGCGGUAAUACGUAUGGGGCAAGCGUUGUUCGGAGUUAUUGGGCGUAAAGGGCGUGUAGGCGGCUCGAGAAGUCUGGUGUGAAAUCGCAGGGCCCAACCCUGCGGGUGCGCUGGAAACUGACGGGCUUGAGUCCCGGGGGGGAAGCUGGAAUUCCUGGUGUAGGAGUGAAAUCUGUAGAGAUCAGGAAGAACACCGGUGGCGAAGGCGAGCUUCUAUUCGAGGACUGACGCUGAGGCGCGAAAGCGUGGGGAGCAAACAG